AUUGAACGCUGGCGGCAUGCCUUACACAUGCAAGUCGAACGGCAGCAUGGAGAGCUUGCUCUCUGAUGGCGAGUGGCGAACGGGUGAGUAAUGCAUCGGAACGUACCGGGUAAUGGGGGGUAACGUAGCGAAAGUUACGCUACUACCGCAUACGACCUGAGGGUGAAAGCAGGGGAUCGCAAGACCUUGCGUUAUACGAGCGGCCGAUGUCAGAUUAGCUAGUUGGUGAGGUAAAGGCUCACCAAGGCGACGAUCUGUAGCGGGUCUGAGAGGAUGAUCCGCCACACUGGGACUGAGACACGGCCCAGACUCCUACGGGAGGCAGCAGUGGGGAAUUUUGUACAAUGGGGGCAACCCUGAUCCAGCCAUGCCGCGUGAGUGAAGAAGGCCUUCGGGUUGUAAAGCUCUUUCGGCCGGGAAGAAAUCGCACAGGCUAAUACUCUGUGUGGAUGACGGUACCGGCAUAAGAAGCACCGGCUAACUACAUGCCAGCAGCCGCCGUAA
rnacentral:rRNA from 1 species